rnacentral:rRNA from 1 species
UGGGGAAUUUUGGACAAUGGGCGAAAGCCUGAUCCAGCAAUGCCGCGUGUGUGAAGAAGGCCUUCGGGUUGUAAAGCACUUUUGUCCGGAAAGAAAUCCUUGGCUCUAAUACAGUCGGGGGAUGACGGUACCGGAAGAAUAAGCACCGGCUAACUACGUGCCAGCAGCCGCGGUAAUACGUAGGGUGCAAGCGUUAAUCGGAAUUACUGGGCGUAAAGCGUGCGCAGGCGGUUUGCUAAGACCGAUGUGAAAUCCCCGGGCUCAACCUGGGAACUGCAUUGGUGACUGGCAGGCUAGAGUAUGGCAGAGGGGGGUAGAAUUCCACGUGUAGCAGUGAAAUGCGUAGAGAUGUGGAGGAAUACCGAUGGCGAAGGCAGCCCCUGGGCCAAUACUGACGCUCAUGCACGAAAGCGUGGGGAGCAAACAGGAUUAGAUACCCUGGUAGUCCACGCCCUAAACGAUGUCAACUAGUUGUUGGGGAUUCAUUUCCUUAGUAACGUAGCUAACGCGUGAAGUUGACCGCCUGGGGAGUACGGUCGCAAGAUUAAAACUUAAAUGAAUUGACGGGGUCAUAGCUG